ensembl:lncRNA
ACAGACGCCGCCAACUUCCUUCCCCGGAGAUCCUGGAGAGGUCACCUGUGGGGAACGCAGCUGGGACAUCUGCCUUCUGACACAUCCAGGCGUGCUCCCCCCGGGUGCCCACGUCCCCCAGCUCUGCGGCACGGUCAGGGCUCUGAGGAGAGGCAGAGGGACGACGAGGGCAAGGCUGCGCCGUGCUGCGCUGCCCUCACGCGUGCACCUCACGGAGCCCACGUGCUUCUAGGCCUUUCCACUUCCAGAAGCGACGCCCACCGGGCCGAGAACCGGGAGCGCGCCAGGGCGGGACCACCGCGACCCGGAUGGCCAGAAACAGGGGCGCGAAGGCUGCCUGAGAGACCCCGGACACGGACCCAGAGCACGGGGAGGCCGCGCGGACCCGGGCCGUCCCGGCGAGGCCGCGGCAGACCGAGCUGGCCGGCGCUCCCGCAGGUGGUGCCAGCGCCCCGCGCUGGACGGUCCGAUCCGGACCCUCCCGCUCCCGUGCGGCCACACCUGGCCAGUGACCAGCGUUUACCUCAGACACCCGUCGCGAGCCUGCACGGAACACGGCCCGCCGGGCAGAGCGUGCGCACGCGCCAGACGCAGCCGGGUACUUCCCUUACGGGGCGGGGCCUCGGGUGGGCGGGGCCUCGGGGAUGGGGUGGCUGCUGCAAUUUCCUGCUUAAAGGAGUGACGUUGACCUGUCGCUCAAACGCAAUUUGGCUUGGCCAGGAGUUUGAGGAUUUGGUUUCUCACACCCAUGGACCAGAAUGUCCUUGGCACUUGGGAGUUAAAAAUUGGUCCCCGGAUAAAAGCAGAGGGACCCCCAAGGAUCCUACUUGGAACCCUGAUCCUGCUGUCAGAUUCCAACCUGUGGCAAAGAUUCUUUGCCCAAACUUCAGACCCUUGAACCUUUUUAGGCUUAUGUGUACACCUCUUGGUAAAAUCCAGUUUUAGUGGAACCUGGCUAAUUCAGUUAAUCUGAUCACCCCUAGGAAUAUCUAAUCAAGUUCCUCAUCUUCCACCCGUCUCCAGGCGAUGUGUGAUCACCGUAGCACUAUGAUAAGGGAUGCUGACCUCACACGUGGUAUCCUAACUGCCACACCAAACACCUGCCCCCAAAGUGAUGCUUUGACCACUGUCCUGGUUGUGAAUUUAUUGGAUCUGCUACCAGUUUGUUCUUUCUGCCUUCCCUGUGAUAACAGAGAUGGGCUUCAUAAAUAUUUCUUCUUUAUUGGUGCAGGGUGCGAGAAGAUAAGGGAGGAAGAAGUUCCCUUCUAAGUGCCAGUGUCCUCACUGGCCAGACUCUGGGAGGGUGCUUCCCUCUUUACCCCCUCUGGAUUCUCCAAUGCGAGGCUCCUUGAGGGUGCGGCAUCUGGAGUUGUUGCAAGCUUUGUACCGCUGUCAGCUUCUAUAGUGGUGGUGUAGCCCAGGGCCCAUAACAGGUGGACCACACUCUAGUCCAGACUGUUCUAUCUCACACCAUCUCCUCAGAAAUGGGGGAUGGCUGCCCCUUAGGUGAGCUGCUUACCUGAAAUCCUACUGCUGAAGCCAGGGGCAAAAGUGAGCGUGCUGAAUUCCUCCACUAAACAGUCCAUUCUGUUCUCCAGGAGCUGGAACCAUCAGACACUGCUGAAGGGAAUCCAAAAUGACGUAAGCCCUUUGAAAAUCUCAUCGAAGGGUAAGCAGUCGGCUCAGCACUUAAGUCCAGGCUUUGGAUACCCUGCAUCGCAUUGAGUGCCUGGGUCCAAGUCCUGGCUUUGGUUCUGAUCAGCUUGCUACUGAUGUCCCUCCUAGGAGGCAGAAGGUGAUGGUUCAAGUAGCUGGAUCCCUGCCACCCAAGUAGGAGAUGCAGACAGAGGUCC